GUCAAGAAUAUUMGUCAAUGCUCGCMAGAGUGAACUAGCCAACUGAAAUCACAGAUUCCACUACGUGUGGUGAAUGUAAUAACGUAAGGGAAAAAAAUGAUAUUACCUUACUAUUAGUGUUGUCCAAAACUGGUGCCAGAAGACUCGGUAAGGCCAGAGACGCAAACGUUAGUCGUCCUAAUCAGGCGUAAAGGGUAUGUAGGCUGUUUUAAAAGUUUUAUAUUAAUAGCUAAUGUAUAAAAAAUAUUUAAUAAAAAAAUAUUUAAAACAUAAAAAUAUAAGAUGAAUUAAAGCUAGGAUCAAAUGGAGGAUAAGUCAAAUAAUACCUAGUGUAGGGUUUAAAUCUGUUGAUGUUAGGUAGAGUACUAACGGUGAAAGCUUUUUAUCUAGAAAUGAUUGACGCUGAGAAACGAAGGUGAGAAUAGGAAAUAGGAUUAGAUACCCAGAUACCUCUCACAGUCAACGAUGAAUGGUGGUUGUUAGUUAGUUUUAUUUAACUGAUAACGAUGUUAACACGAUAACCAUUCCGCCUUGCGAGUACGGUUGCAAAACUGAAACCAAAAAAAUU
rnacentral:rRNA from 1 species